AGAGUUUGAUCCUGGCUCAGGAUUAACGCUGGCGGCAUGCCUAAUACAUGCAAGUCGAACGAAGACCUUCGGGUCUUAGUGGCGAACGGGUGAGUAAUACAUAGGUAACCUGCCUCUAAGAUGGGGAUAACUUUUGGAAACGAAAGGUAAUACCGAAUAGGACAUUAUAAAUCGCAUGAUUAAAUGUUUAAAAGAGCAAUCUGCUUAGAGAGGGGCCUGUGGCGCAUUAGCUAGUUGGUGAGGUAAGGGCUCACCAAGGCAGUGAUGCGUAGCCGGACUGAGAGGUUGAACGGCCACAAUGGGACUGAGAGACGGCCCAUACUCCUACGGGAGGCAGCAGUAGGGAAUUUUCGGCAAUGGACGAAAGUCUGACCGAGCAAUGCCGCGUGAACGAAGAAGUUAUUCGUAAUGUAAAGUUCUUUUAUUAGGGACGAAAACACGUAUUGACGGUACCUAAUGAAUAAGCCCCGGCUAACUACGUGCCAGCAGCCGCGGUAAUACGUAGGGGGCAAGCGUUAUCCGGAUUUAUUGGGCGUAAAGGGUGCGUAGACGGCAUAAGAAGUCUUUUGUAAAAUUGUUGGGCUCAACCCAAUCAAGCAAAAGAAACUCUUAAGCUAGAGUACGGUAGAGGCAAGUGGAAUUCCAUGUGUAGCGGUAAAAUGCGUAAAUAUAUGGAGGAACACCAGUGGCGAAGGCGGCUUGCUGGGCCUGUACUGACGUUGAGGCACGAAAGCGUGGGUAGCAAACAGGAUUAGAUACCCUGGUAGUCCACGCCCUAAACGAUGAGUACUAAGUGUUACCGUAAGGUAGUGCUGAAGUUAACGCAUUAAGUACUCCGCCUGAGUAGUACGUACGCAAGUAUGAAACUUAAAGGAAUUGACGGGAGCCCGCACAAGCGGUGGAGCAUGUUGUUUAAUUCGAAGAUACGCGAAGAACCUUACCAGGUCUUGACAUCUGAGGCGAAGCUAUAGAGAUAUAGUGGAGGUUAGCCUCAAGACAGGUGGUGCAUGGUUGUCGUCAGCUCGUGUCGUGAGAUGUUGGGUUAAGUCCCGCAACGAGCGCAACCCUUAUUUCUAGUUACCAGCAGUAAGAUGGGGACUCUAGAGAGACUGCCAGUGAUAAACUGGAGGAAGGUGGGGAUGACGUCAAAUCAUCAUGCCCCUUAUGACCUGGGCUACAAACGUGCUACAAUGGCUGAAACAAAGAGAGGCGAACUCGUGAGAGUAAGCAAAACUCAUAAAAGCAGUCUCAGUUCGGAUUGAAGUCUGCAACUCGACUUCAUGAAGUUGGAAUCGCUAGUAAUCGCGAAUCAGAAUGUCGCGGUGAAUACGUUCUCGGGCUUUGUACACACUGCCCGUCAAACCAUGAGAGUUUGUAAUACCCGAAGCCGGUGGCCUAACCGCAAGGAAGGAGCCGUCUAAGGUAGGACAGAUGAUUGGGGUUAAGUCGUAACAAGGUAUCCCUACGAGAACGUGGGGAUGGAUCACCUCCUUU
rnacentral:rRNA from 1 species